UGAAAAACCAGUUCCCGUACGAUCACCAAAGUUAAGCAACGUCAUGCUUGGUCAAUACCUAGAUGGGUAAGCGCUUGGAAAUUUUACGUGCUGAAA